rnacentral:rRNA from 1 species
GAGUUUGAUCAUGGCUCAGAACGAACGCUGACGGCGCGUCUUAAGCAUGCAAGUCGAACGGUAAGAGAGGAGCUUGCUCUUCUCCUAGAGUGGCGGACUGGUGAGUACCGCGUAGGUGACCUACCCUGAAGAUGGGGAUAGCUAGUAGAAAUAUUAGAUAAUACCGAAUAAGCUCAUAGACGUAAACGGAUAUGAGGAAAGGAGCUACGGCUCCGCUUUAGGAUGGGCCUGCGUCCCAUUAGCUAAGUUGGUGAGGUAAAGGCUCACCAAGGCGACGAUGGGUAUCCGGCCUGAGAGGGUGAACGGACACAUUGGGACUGAGAUACGGCCCAAACUCCUACGGGAGGCAGCAGCUAAGAAUCUUCCGCAAUGGACGAAAGUCUGACGGAGCGACGCCGUGUGAAUGAAGAAGGCCGAAAGGUUGUAAAGUUCUUUUGCAGAUGAAGAAUAAGGGCAAGAGGGAAUGCUUGUCU